rnacentral:rRNA from 1 species
ACAGAGGUCCCGAGCGUUGCUCGGAUUUACUGGGCGUAAAGGGUGUGUAGGAGGUCGGAAAAGUCGAAUGUGAAAUCCCUCUGCCUAACGGAGGAACUGCGUUCGAAACUGUCUGGCUAGAGGUUCGGAUGGGGAAGCGGAACUCUCGGUGUAGCAGUGAAAUGCGUAGAUAUCGAGAGGAACACCGGUGGCGAAGGCGGCUUCCUGGACGAAACCUGACUCUGAAACACGAAAGCUAGGGGAGCAAACGGGAUUAGAUACCCCNGGUAGUCCUAGCUGUAAACGGUGUGCGUUAGGUGUUGGCGGAUUCGACCCCGCCGGUGCCGAAGCUAACGCAUUAAACGCACCGCCUGAGGAGUACGGUCGCAAGGCUAAAACUCAAAGAAAUUGACGGGGGCCCGCACAAGCGGUGGAGCAUGUGGCUUAAUUCGAUGCAACGCGAAGAACCUUACCUGGCCUUGACAUGCAGCGUUCAGUCCCGGAAACGGGAUGGCCCGCAGAGGCGAGCUGCACAGGUGCUGCAUGGCUGUCGUCAGCUCGUGUCGUGAGAUGUUGGGUUCCGUCCCCCAACGAGCGCGAGCCCUGUGUUUAGUUGCCGAAAAGGUCUCUAGACAGACUGGCCUCUUCAGGGGGGA